rnacentral:misc_RNA from 1 species
AUAAUAGUAAUAAAAAUUACAGAACUCAUUAAUUCAGGCCUGUUCACAAAAAACUCUCCCCCUCCCCCUCCUCCUCAGCUCCCGCAUGCAUGUACACACACGCGACACACAUCACAUAAAAUACGCAGAGUUUAGCUACCGCCAACGACGUCAAGUGUAAGGAGGCAGUCAUAGGUUAGGAAAAAACUAACAAACACCACUCUAACCACCAUACACCGACAAUGCAGACACGUAUUUCCUAAAAAACACAUAAAAACUGUCCGUGCAGUGAGAUAAGAGAGAUGAAAUGGGAGAAGCUUUCUAAGCUUCCGAAUUUAGUUUCUGUAUUGAUGAUUCAGAAACAGAAUGCGACCUAGAUGAUGUAAAUACAUGGGACUUGAAAGUGACGAAUAAUAGUGACAGCA